rnacentral:rRNA from 1 species
AUUAAGGCCCUCUGGGUUGUAAACUCCUUUUAUCUGGGAAGAAAUGUUUCGAUUCUUCGGAACUUGACGGUACCAGAGGAAUAAGCACCGGCUAACUCCGUGC